GGGUUGUGAGGUUAAGCGACUAAGCGUACACGGUGGAUGCCCUGGCAGUCAGAGGCGAUGAAGGACGUGCUAAUCUGCGAAAAGCGUCGGUAAGGUGAUAUGAACCGUUACAGCCGGCGAUGUCCGAAUGGGGAAACCCAGUGCAAUUCGUUGCACUAUCGUUAACUGAAUACAUAGGUUAACGAGGCGAACCGGGGGAACUGAAACAUCUAAGUACCCCGAGGAAAAGAAAUCAACCGAGAUUCCCCCAGUAGCGGCGAGCGAACGGGGAGCAGCCCAGAGUCUGAAUCAGCUUGUGUGUUAGUGGAACGGUCUGGAAAGUCCGACGGUACAGGGUGAUAGUCCCGUACACCAAAAUGCACAGGUUGUGAACUCGAAGAGUAGGGCGGGACACGUGGUAUCCUGUCUGAAUAUGGGGGGACCAUCCUCCAAGGCUAAAUACUCCUGACUGACCGAUAGUGAACCAGUACCGUGAGGGAAAGGCGAAAAGAACCCCGGCGAGGGGAGUGAAAAAGAACCUGAAACCGUGUACGUACAAGCAGUGGGAGCACCUUCGGGUGUGACUGCGUACCUUUUGUAUAAUGGGUCAGCGACUUAUAUUCUGUAGCAAGGUUAACCGUAUAGGGGAGCCGCAGGGAAACCGAGUCUUAACUGGGCGUUAAGUUGCAGGGUAUAGACCCGAAACCCGGUGAUCUAGCCAUGGGC
rnacentral:rRNA from 1 species